rnacentral:lncRNA from 1 species
CCAGGGAUAUGCACAGACAGAGAAAAGACCAUGUGAAGACAUAGUGAGAAGGCCAUCUGCAAGUGAAGGGGAGAGGCCUCAGGAGAAACCACACCUGUAGACAUCUUGAUCGCAGACUUCUAGCUUUUAGAACUGUUGUUUCAGCCACCCUGUCUAUGGCAUUUUGUUAUGGCAGCCCUAGCAGACUUAAUGUGCUCAGCGAUAAAAAGAAGUGAAAUACUAUACACUGACAUGGAGGAAUCUAAAUAAUACUGUGUCGAAUGAAAGAAGCCUUAAACAAAACAGCAUGUAACUGUAUGAUUCCAUUUAUAUGCCAUUUUAGAAUAGGCAAAAUUAAUUUUUUAGAAAAAAUAUCGGAACAGUUGUUGCCUCUGAGGCAAGGAAUUUAGCAUCGUGAUUGACCCAGGUGGCAUGAAAGGAUUCUGGGGGUGAUGAUCCUGUUUUUUCAAUCCAGACUGGGCUUUGAAUUACAUAGUUGUAUUUAUUUGUCAAAAUUCAUUGAAUGGUAUAUUUGACAUUUGUACAUUUAUUGUAUAUUAACUUUACCUCAAAAGAAAAUAUACAUACUUUAAGAUAAAUAUUAAACAUUAGUCAGUGAUAUGCAUGCUGAAGUAUCUGGAGUGAGUGUACUGAUUUUGCAAACUACUCUGAAAUGUGUCAAAAGUAAAGUGAUUGAUGAAGAAUGCGCUUGAACAACACUAUGAAAUUUUGGACUUUGAAGACAUGGAAGGUGAGGGCUUGAAGAAAGAAAAAUCUUAUUGGAAACUAAAGGAAAGGGGCUCUUUGUUAUGCAGUGGUAGAAAGUUUAGCAAUACAGUUUUCUGAAAUUAUAUGGAAAAUGUGUCUAUUGGCAAGGGUAAUCUAGCUAAGGAGAUUUUCAAAUAGUGUUGAAGGUGACACCUGAUUUCUUCUUGGGUCUUACAGGAAGGCGUUGAAUUGAGAGAAGGAAGAUUAAAGAUGAAAUCAAGGGUGUGACUUAAAACCAUUCGUGAAGACCUCAGAAGAAACAAAGAUGGUGCCUCAGAAUACGAUUCAGUCACAUAGGAGCGCUUUAAAUAAAUUAAGGUUUCACAGGUUAAGAAGAAGAAAUGUACUCAAAGAGCUGUACUUAAGGAAUUAAAACUGAGGAGCCCCAACUGCACCUGGACCUGAUUUAGAUGACAAGAUUUUGGAUAUUGAGCUCACACUGCAAUGGGAUGAGACUUUGCAAUCCUUGGAGGGAAAAUAGCAAUGGCAUGUGACCAACAAAACACAUGAGAACACGGUUAAUCCAAUUUUCCUGAGCUGAAAGAGAGAGGACAGGUAAAAAGGAAAGUGAAAGCAACAGUAUCCUUGGAGUCUGGCUCACAGCCAAGCAGAUGGGCCAUGACCCCCAGAACCCAUCUCUCUGAGCCUCUGGUUCUUUGUAAAGUGGGUACCACCUACCUCCUAGGGAUGCCGUGAGGAUUAUGUUACAGUGUGCCUUAUACAGUAACAGUAUUAACUGCUCAAUAAAAGGUCUUUAUUGUUUUACCAAUGAGUCCAGAAAGAGCAAGGAACAAACAAGAAGAAAAUCAAGGGGAAAGCAAGAAAAAAACGAAAGCCAAUGGAGUAUGAAGAAGACUACGUGCAAGUAAGUCCUGUAGGUAGACAUUGAUUAGAGGCAAAAGUCAGAGAGGGCAUGACUAUGGUAUGAUUAGUGGGAUAAGCUAGGGAAAAAUUAAACCCCACCUUGAGGAAAUAAAUUGAAGAGCUACGGAUGUGUUACCCUGUAGGUUUCCAGAAGAAUGAUUGAAACUAAAACUAGUAUAGGGCCUUUGAGCAAAAUAUUUAAUGGUUGGAGAAAAAAAACCAAGAUGAUUAUAUAUUAAACAUGUAUACCUUUCUGCAUGUCCCUUCCCAGGAAGAAAAAAUAAUGGACAAAAUAAAAAAGAUUAUAAUAUAAUUAUUAACUAUAUAAUAAUUAACACUUCAGUGAUUACUCUCUGAUAACCACUGUUUGAAGUGCUUAUCAAGCACAGUCUUAUUUAAUCAUCAUUACAACUCUGUGAGGAAGAAAUAAUUGUUAUCAUUUACCAAGAAGGUGACUGAGUCACAGGGAAAUUUAACUUGUCCACUUCGGUGGGCAAGUUAAGCAACACUACACUAAAUUGCUUCUCACAGUUAUCCUGAGCUGGGUCACAAACUUUGGGUAGAAUAACACUCUGGUGUAAUGAGUUUAAAGCACCUACAAUAAGAAUAAGACCCCAAAUUGUUGCAAUGAAAAAUAUAGUAACUUUGGAUUGGUAAUAGACAGUCCUUUAAAAGAUCACACAUAAGCCAGGCACUGCGGCUCAUGCCUGUAAUCCCAGCACUUUGGGAGGCCAAGGGAAAGAGGAUCACUUGAGCCCAGA